rnacentral:rRNA from 1 species
CCCUUAGAUGUCCGGGGCUGCACGCGCGCUACACUGAAGGAAUCAGCGUGCUAGAAAACCUUGUUUGACAUGGCUAGGUAACCCGUUGAAAAUCUUUCGUGAUUGGGAUCGGGACUUGCAAAUGUGUCCCUUGAACGAGGAAUUCCCAGUAAGUGCGGGUCAUAAGCUCGCGCUGAUUACGUCCCCGCCCUUUGUACACACCGCCCGUCGCUGCCCGGAACUGAGCCGUUUCGAGAAGACUGGGGACUGCGAACUUUGGGCUGGAAAACAGCUUUUUGUUUGUGGAAACCACUUUAAUCGCAGCGGCUUGAACCGGGCAAAAGUCGUAACA